AUACAUAGCUCUGAUGUGUAAUUUCUCUCGUCCGAUCACCGAAGUUAAGCAAUGUCGGGCCCGGUCAGUACUUGAGAAGGUGACCACCUGGGAACACCGGGUGCUGUAGGCU